UUUUUUUUUUCUAUUUUUGUUGUUGUUAAUAAUAAAAUCAUGCUUAUUUUAAAAUGUAAAUAAUAUAUGAGUCUGAAAAGCAAAAAUCAAAGAAUCUUCCCUCACUUUACCCAUGCAAUUACCCAGGAAUAACUAAAUUAGCACUGUUAAAAAUUCGGUCUUCAUCUGUCUAGAUCUUUUUCCUAAAGUUUACUUAUCUAAGUAAUCUCUACACCCAACAUGUGGCUCAAACUCACAACCAGCAGUCACAUUUUUAAAUUGUUUAAUCUUUCUCUUCGAAUAAUACCAAAUAAUAAGGAGCAAGAAAGGGACACCUGGGUGGCUCAGUCGGUUAAGUGUCUGCCUUCAGCUCAGGUCAUGAUCUCAGGAUCCUGGGAUAAGCCCCAGGUUGGGCUCCCUGUGGAGCCUGCUUCUGUCCCUGCCCCUCUUCCCUGCUCCUGCACUCGUGCUCUCUCUCUCUCUCUCUUGCUCUCUCUCUCUCCUCUCUUGCUCUCUGUCUCAAAUCAGUAAACAAAAUCUUCUAAAAAAUAAAUAAUAAGUAAGAAUUGGUGGACAUGUAUAUGCAUAGCCUUCCAUUCAAGGGUUCUUUAUCUUUCCACCUCCCCUCCAGGAUUCAGAGGGAGUUUAGGGGACUGUCUGUAGACUGAAUGAUCAGGCUGUUUGUUAUUCAGGUUGAAAGCCCCCAAGAUUGCUGCCUAUUAAAUGUGAGUUGACCCUGCAGGAAGCCAUCCACCAUUUGUUGAUGCACUUUCAUCCCCGCCACAGGAUCCACAGGAAAGAGCAGUGAUUGAGGGUUCUGGGAACCCAAAACAGGCCACCAAUCCCAGCUUCCCAGGGACUGAACUGGUAGACUUCUCUCAAGGGAAGAAGAUUGACUGAGACCAGUCUUCUAUGAUACUGCUUUUCUCAGGAAAAUUAUCAUAUCAUCAUCAUAGGUAACAUUUGACAAACACUUCCUUCAGGCCAGGAACUUUAUAUAUACCUUUUAAUCUCAUAAUCCCAUGAAGAUGCUAAUAUUUACCCCAUUUUACUGACAAGAAAAAAACAAGUUUCAAGAGUUCAAGUAACUUGCGUAAACUCACGCUAUGAGUAAAUAGCAGAUUAGAGCUUGAAUCCACUGAUGGCAAAGCCCUAGUUCUAAAUCACCACCUCACUGUAGCACACUACCUCUCAGUACCACUGAUCUCAGAAAAGGAAGAAGCACAAGAGUGCACAACCAACUCCUUUUUUCAGACUAUUUCACCAGAAGGAAGUCCUCAUUUGCAUAAUGGUAUUUUCCUCCAUGGACAGAGUAGGGACAAUAUUUCUCAUUCCUACUAGAGAUUUUGAACCCGUCUACACCUGGUUUAGACUGUAGUUCUGUGACAUAAAGUCUUGGAAUACCAUGGAGUGUUUUUGUUUCUUGUUUGUUUAAGGGAAUUACUGUCUUACUAAAUAACUUGUGAGGUUUUCUUGAGCUGCUCAUUUUUUUAAAAAUUUUUAUUUAUUUAUGAUAGUCACACAGAGAGUCACCCAGGGAUCCCAUGAGCUGCUCAUUAAUCAGCCAGUUAUUCAUGAAUUCAUUCAACAAGUGUCUUUGAUAUGCCAAGCACUGGGGAUAAAAAGAGGAACAACGACGUCUGAGUGGCUCAGUGGUUGGGCACCUGCCUUUGGCUCAGGGCGUGAUCGUGGAUUCUUGGGUUCAAGUCCCACAUUGGGCUCCUUGCAUGGAGCCUGCUUCUCCCUCUGCCUGUGUCUCUGCCUCUCUCUCUCUCUCAUAUGAAUAAAAAAUAAAUAAAAAAAAAUAAAAAAUCUUUAACUAACUAAAUAAAUAAAUAAAAGAACAAAAAAGAUAAUAUUUUUACUCUCCAAAACUGACAGCCUGUCGAAGGAGACAGUUGUCCAACAAUUACAAUAAAGUGUGAUGAAUCUCUGAUGGUAGAACUCUAUAACGACACAUAACCUAGUCUGGAAAAGCUUCCUGAAAGCUUCCUGAAAGAUGACUUUUGGGCUAAAACUAGGCUGCCAACAAACAUAAGAAAGUGUUAUGGGAGGCAGGACAAAGCUAGUGUCAUUUCUUUAGUCAGCAAAACCUAUGAAGUAGGGCAUAGAUAUGGGGCCAGAUCUCAACAAGAUAAACCCUGGUAGCAGAAAACAUCCUAAAACAUACAUAACAAGAGAGAGUGGCUUUAUGAAAAGAGUGUAAAAUUGAACAUAGCUGCUAUGGUAGGCCACUGUUUUGAUUUUUGACCUUCAGGAAAUGGGCUACUUGAAACACACAAAGCCUAGCUUUCCAAGGAAAUGGAUUUGCCUCUAACA
rnacentral:lncRNA from 1 species